CUUGUUAACAUAAGAGGUCCAGCCUGCCCAGUGACCUAGUUCAACGGCCGCGGUAUCCUAACCGUGCGAAGGUAGCGUAAUCACUUGUCUUCUAAAUAAAGACUAGUAUGAAAGGCACCACGAGAACUAAACUGUCUCCCUUUUCUAAUCAGUGAACCUAAUCUCCCCGUGAAGAAGCGGGGAUUUAUAAAUAAGACGAGAAGACCCUAUGGAGCUUUAAACACAUAACACCUGCCUAAACACCCACACCACGCAAGAUGAUUACAAGUUUUCAGUUGGGGCGACUACGGAGAAAGCCCACCCUCCGUGAUGAAUCUACAACAAGCUACAGCUUUAUGUAUCAAUAAACUGACACCAUUGACCCAAUAUAUUGAUCAACGAAC
rnacentral:rRNA from 1 species